GAUGAACGCUAGCUACAGGCUUAACACAUGCAAGUCGAGGGGCAGCAUGAACUUAGCUUGCUAAGUUUGAUGGCGACCGGCGCACGGGUGAGUAACACGUAUCCAACCUGCCGAUGACUCGGGGAUAGCCUUUCGAAAGAAAGAUUAAUACCCGAUGGCAUAGUUCUUCCGCAUGGUAGAACUAUUAAAGAAUUUCGGUCAUCGAUGGGGAUGCGUUCCAUUAGGUUGUUGGCGGGGUAACGGCCCACCAAGCCUUCGAUGGAUAGGGGUUCUGAGAGGAAGGUACACCACAUUGGAACUGAGAAACGGACCAAACUCCUACGGGAGGCAGCAGUGAGGAAUAUUGGGCAAUGGACGAGAGUCUGAACCAGCCAAGUAGCGUGAAGGAUGACUGCCAUAUGGGUUGUAAACUUCUUUUAUACGGGAAUAAAGUGAGGAACGGGUGCCUUUUUGUAUGUACCGUAUGAAUAAGGAUCGGCUAACUCCGUG
rnacentral:rRNA from 1 species